rnacentral:lncRNA from 1 species
UUUUAGGAGGCGCUUUGCGAAGAUACAAGCUGACCAUGUUGCCCACAGCAUGCUUGUCACACGGAUGUCUGCGCACAUGAGCUCCAGGCUUCAUCACGCGGUGCUUACGUGUGCUUGGCCAGUUUAAACCCUGGCUCCAACAUUGUGUGGCUCUAAAUCCUCAGCAAGCUCACCUCCUGUGUCUUGGUUUCUUCAUCUGUGCGAAUAAUAACACCUACUCUUCAGGACUGCUGUGAGUUGAGCCACUUAUUUUAUGCAACCGAAGUGCACAAGGCCCACACCACAGGGGGAAAUGGGCGGCGCUGCUGUUUGGAGAACCGUGGGCUUCGUCGCUGGUGAGAAACCACAGCCCUGAGAUCUGAUCUCCCCUCAAGUUUCCAGACUGAAAUACGCAACUACUGAGCUGUGGAGAAAAGGCCCAUUUCCUAGAGAUGGUGGGAAAAGCUAUAAGAGCAGAGUCCUUCUGUUUACACAAGCAUGAAUUGAAUUCUCAGCUGAUUGACAGUUCACAGAAAUAAACGCUCCAUACAUGUGCUGUGGGCAAAUUCCAUGGCAGUCCGGCCUUCAGACGGCAGCCUGCCCCUGAGGACAAAUCCACAGAUGCUUGGAGAAGACCUUAGACACUGGCUUAGAGCGAUUCGCCUUCAGACGGCAGCCUGACCCUGAGGACAAAUCCGCAGAUGCUUGGAG